GGAAGGAUCAUUAUUGAAAUAAACCUGAUGAGUUGCUGCUGGUUCUCUAGGGAGCAUGUGCACACUUGUCAUCUUUAUAUCUCCACCUGUGCACCUUUUGUAGACCUGGAUAUCUCUCUGAAUGAAUAGCCAUUCAGGUUUGAGGAUUGACUUUAUGUCUCUCCUUACAUUUCCAGGCCUAUGUUUCUUCAUAUACCCCAAUGUAUGUUAUAGAAUGUAAUCAAUGGGCCUUUGUGCCUAUAAACCUAUACAACUUUCAGCAACGGAUCUCUUGGCUCUCGCAUCGAUGAAGAACGCAGCGAAAUGCGAUAAGUAAUGUGAAUUGCAGAAUUCAGUGAAUCAUCGAAUCUUUGAACGCACCUUGCGCUCCUUGGUAUUCCGAGGAGCAUGCCUGUUUGAGUGUCAUUAAUAUAUCAACCUCCUCAGCUUUUGCUUGUUGAGUGUUGGAUGUGGGGGGUUAUUUUUGCUGGCCUUCUCAGGUCAGCUCCCCUAAAAUGUAUUAGCGGAACAAUCUGUGGACCGUUCAUUGGUGUGAUAACUAUCUACGCUAUUGACGUUAAACAGUUCAGCUUCUAACAGUCCAUUGACUUGGACAAAUUUUCAUUAAUGUGACCUCAAAUCAGGUAGGACUACCCGCUGAACUUAAGCAUAUCAAUAAGCGGAGGAAAAGAAACUAACAAGGAUUCCCCUAGUAACUGCGAGUGAAGCGGGAAAAGCUCAAAUUUAAAAUCUGUCAGUCUUUGGCUGUCCGAGUUGUAAUCUAGAGAAGUAUUAUCCGCGCUGGACCGUGUACAAGUCUCCUGGAAUGGAGCGUCAUAGAGGGUGAGAAUCCCGUCUUUGACACGGACUGCCAGGGCUUUGUGAUGUGCUCUCAAAGAGUCGAGUUGUUUGGGAAUGCAGCUCAAAAUGGGUGG
rnacentral:rRNA from 1 species